AGUCAUAAAAAUAAUUAACCGUUAUAAUCUAUGCUUACUGUAUAUGUACAUACUUUUCAUUUAUUAUAAAUAUACUUUUUAUAUUUUUAUAUUUCAUAUUUUUAUGUAUACAUAGAUAUAGGCAUAAAUACAUACAUCUUAAUUCAUAUAUAUGUAGAUAUACGUACUUAUACAUACUUAAAUAUAUUUUUCAUAUUUCAUAAUUCUUAUAUACUUACAUAUAUUUAUGCAUAUUUUACAUCAUAUACAUACUUAUAUAUAUUCUUUAUAUUCUUAAAAAUGCUUUUUGUAUAUUUCACAUAUUUUAUAAUUCACAUACAUAUAUUUCAUAUUAUCACGAUUUGUAAAUAUAUAUAAACACAUAUUUACAUUUUUAUUUUUAUAAUACUUACCGAUUUUUUAUAUAUGUAUAUAUUUAUCUAUGUUUUCAUAUUCUAUAAUUUAUAUGCAUUUCUUAUUUUAUGGCUUAAAAUUAUACAUGCAUAUACAUUUUUACAUAAUUGUAUUUAUUGUCAUCAUUGUUAUUUGGUGUUUGUUUAUUUAUUCAUGUACACUUGUGCUUUUUCUAAAAUGUUAGUUCUAUUUAUUUAUUUGUAUGCUUUGUAAUCGCCUCGUCAUUUCAUUUUGCCUAUUGUACUGUUGCUACUCAUUUUACUUUGUUCACCUUGUCGUAGUUGUUAUUGUCUUGUCAAGCAUUGACACUAAACAUCAAAAAGAAAAAUUUUUCUAAAUGAGGCAAUAUUUCGCGUUUGGAAAAUCGAGAAAAUGUGCCCUAACGUGCUGGGUUUCGAUUUCUCGUUCGACUAAAUAGCCAAAUAUCCUCUUAAAGCUUCAAAGUAUGGCUUUAAUAAACUAUAAGGUGAUCUUGGUUUCGAUGGUAUAGAGUAUCGUGUCCUAACGUGCUGAAUGUGAUAUUC
rnacentral:lncRNA from 1 species